rnacentral:rRNA from 1 species
AGGGUGUAAACGCUGCAGACUUGGUGUUGGAAGCCCUUUGGGGGCAUUCAGUGCCGGAGAGAAGUUGUUAAGUCUGCUACUUGGGGAGUACGUCCGCAAGGAUGAAACUUAAAGGAAUUGGCGGGGGAGCACCGCAACGGGAGGAGCGUGCGGUUUAAUUGGAUUCAACACCGUAAAACUCACCAGGGAAGACUGUUACAUGAAGGCCGAGAUGAAGACUCUGCUAGAUUUUCAGAGAGGUGGUGCAUGGCGUAGACGUCU